UGGAGGCAGCAGUGAGGAAUUUUGCGCAAUGGCCGCAAGGCUGACGCAGCAACGCCGCGUGGGUGAUGAAGGCCUUCGGGUCGUAAAGCCCUGUCAGGUGGGAAGAAUAGUUUGGGGAUGAAUAAGCCUCAGGCAUGACGGUACCACCAAAGGAAGCACCGGCUAACUCCGUGCCAGCAGCCGCGGUAAUACGGAGGGUGCAAGCGUUAUUCGGAAUUACUGGGCGUAAAGCGCGUGUAGGCGGGAAGGUAAGUCUGAUGUGAAAGCCCUGGGCUCAACCUGGGAAGUGCAUUGGAUACUGCUUUUCUUGAGUACUGGAGAGGAUGGGGGAAUUCCCGCUGUAGAGGUGAAAUUCGUAGAGAUCGGGAGGAAUAUCAGUGGCGAAGGCGCCCAUCUGGACGGUUACUGACGCUGAGACGCGAAAGCGUGGGGAGCAAACAGGAUUAGAUACCCCCGUAGUCCU
rnacentral:rRNA from 1 species